CACACCAAACAAACUCCAGUCCACACCUUACAAUCUAUCUAUUUAAAUAAAUGCAGCUAGCAUUGUGCAUUAUCACUGACAUUGUCUGCCUACUGUUAUAACACUCACUCACUCUCACUCUCAGUCUUAAUUUCUUUCUAUUCAUCAUUCAUUUCAGCAUCUUCUUAAUUUCUACUACUAGUUACCACUGAUACAUAUACAUAUAUAUAUAAAGAAUUAACCUCCUCCUAAAAUAAAAAAAAAA
rnacentral:lncRNA from 1 species